GGGCGAUUAGCUCAGUUGGCUAGAGCGCCUCCCUUACAAGGAGGAGGUCAUCUGUUCAAUUCAGAUAUCGCCCAUCA
rnacentral:tRNA from 1 species